rnacentral:rRNA from 1 species
CCUACGGGUGGCAGCAGUGAGGAAUAUUGGUCAAUGGGCGUAAGCCUGAACCAGCCAAGUCGCGUGAGGGAUGAAGGUUCUAUGGAUCGUAAACCUCUUUUAUAAGGGAAUAAAGUGCGGGACGUGUCCCGUUUUGUAUGUACCUUAUGAAUAAGGAUCGGCUAACUCCGUGCCAGCAGCCGCGGUAAUACGGAGGAUCCGAGCGUUAUCCGGCUUUAUUGGGUUUAACGGGUGCGUAGGCGGGCUUUUAAGUCAGGGGUGAAAGUUUGGGGGUGAACCAGAGAAUUGCCGUUGAAACUGGGGGGCUUGAGUGUGUUUGAGGCAGGCGGAAUGCGUGGUGUAGCGGUGAAAUGCUUAGAUAUCACGCAGAACCCCGAUUGCGAAGGCAGCCUUCCAAGCCAUGACUGACGCUGAUGCACGAAAGCGUGGGGAUCAAACAGGAUUAGAUACCCUUGUAGUC